UGCCGGCGACCGGCGGACGGGUGCGUAACGCGUAUGUAACCUACCUUUGACAGGGGGAUAACAUCGAGAAAUUGGUACUAAUACCCCAUAACAUCACCGGAGGCAUCUUCGGUGGUUGAAAACUCAGGUGGUCAGAGAUGGACAUGCGUUGUAUUAGCUAGUUGGUGAGGUAACGGCUCACCAAGGCGACGAUACANAGGGGGACUGAGAGGUCAACCCCCCACAUUGGUACUGAGACACGGACCAAACUCCUACGGAAGGCAGCAG
rnacentral:rRNA from 1 species